ensembl:snRNA U2 U2 spliceosomal RNA
AUCGCUUCUCGGCCUUUGGCUAAGAUCAAAAAAUGUAGUAUCUGUUCUUAUCAGUUUAAUAUCUGAUACGUCCCCUACCCGGGGACCAUAUAUUAAAUUGAUUUUUGAACUGGGAGAUGGAAAAGGAGCUUGCCCAUUGUCCACUCCACAAAACCUGGUAUUGCAGUACCUCUCAGGACCGGUGCACCCCUC